UUUGUGUAUAUUUUGUACAAAUGGCAAUGG
rnacentral:piRNA from 1 species